AUUUAUAUAGUUUAUUUAAAACUAUACAUUUUCAUUGUAUAAAAAAUGAUUAUCAUUUAUAAAUA
rnacentral:tRNA from 1 species